rnacentral:rRNA from 1 species
UACGUAGGGUGCAAGCGUUAAUCGGAAUUACUGGGCGUAAAGCGUGCGCAGGCGGUUCUAUAAGACAGAUGUGAAAUCCCCGGGCUCAACCUGGGAACUGCAUUUGUGACUGUAGAGCUGGAGUGCGGCAGAGGGGAUGGAAUUCCGCGUGUAGCAGUGAAAUGCGUAGAUAUGCGGAGGAACACCGAUGGCGAAGGCAAUCCCCGUCGGCUGCACUGACGCUCAUGCACGAAAGCGUGGGGAGCAAACAGGAUUAGAACC